CACAUGUGUGAAUGAUUGAAUGAUGGAUGUAGCGUGCGAAAAAUAUCUUUUUUUCGCACGCAGUGAAGUAAGGACAUUUUUUUCACACGCUAAUCUUGAAUGAAAUAAUCGAGCCUCAUAUAAGAUUAGAAAGGGACAAGAAAGAGUUCAUUUCCGUCAUUGAAUUGCGAAAA